GCCAAAAACUUAGCUCUCUACCCCUAAUGAAAUUUUUUCAACUAACAACUUUAUAAAACAUUUUACACUUCAAGUAAAGGCGAUUGAAAAAUGUCUAGAAGCUAUAGAAACUAGUACCGCAAGGGAAAAGUGAAAUAACAGUGAAAAUUUUAAGCACAAAACAGCAGAGCCUCAACCUCGUACCUUUUGCAUCAUGGUUUAACGAGUCUAACCAAGCAAAACGCACCUUAAGUUUGACUUCCCGAAACUAGACGAGCUACUUAAGAACAGCCUUAUGGGCCAACCCGUCUCUGUUGCAAAAGAGUGGGACGAUUUUUAAGUAGAGGUGAUAAACCUACCGAGCCUAGAGAUAGCUGGUUAUUCAGGAAAAGGAUCUAAGUCCUACCUUAAAUUUUCUGUAUCUUCUAAUACACCCUAAAAUUUAAGAGCUAUUCAAAUAAGGUACAGCCUAUUUGAAAAAGGAUACAACCUCAAAUAACGGGUAACAAACCUAAAACACAACAAAGUGGGCCUAAGAGCAGCCACCUUUAAAAAAGCGUUAAAGCUUUAUUGUCUACCAAAAAAAUACCAUAAACUUAACUCAACCCUUUACUAAUACUGAAUGACUUCAUACCUUUAUGAAGAACCUUAUGUUAGAACUAGUAACAAGAAGAAGCCCUUCUCCAAAAUGUAAACAUGAACCAAAAUGAACAAAUCAUUGGUAUUUAAAAUUUUUUUAGCUACAAGUAACAACUCAUCAAGAAAACCUUACUGCCCAACAUGUCAACCUUACACAAGUACAUUUAUGGAAAGAGUAAAAGAAUGGGAAGGAACUCGGCAAAUAACUAACCCCGCCUGUUUACCAAAAACAUCGCCUCCUGCUACUUUAUAGGAGGUCCAGCCUGCCCAGUGAUAAAAUUAAACGGCCGCGGUACCCUAACCGUGCAAAGGUAGCGCAAUCACUUGUUCUUUAAAUGAGGACUAGUAUGAACGGCAUCACGAGGGUUACACUGUCUCCCCACUCUACUCAGUGAAACUGAUCCCCCCGUGAAGAAGCGGGGAUAAAUAUAUAAGACGAGAAGACCCCAUGGAGCUUAAAACUCAGUCUUACCUGCCAUCUAAAAAACCUAUAAACCACGCAGUACUAAUGACUAGUUUUCGGUUGGGGUGACCGCGGAGAAAAACAAAUCCUCCACGACGAAAGGACCUACCCACCUAACCCAAGAGCUACACCUCUAAGAAUCAACACAUUGACCAACUGAUCCAAUUUUUUGAUCAGCGGACCAAGUUACCCUGGGGAUAACAGCGCAAUCCAUUUCAAGAGCUCAUAUCGACAAAUGGGUUUACGACCUCGAUGUUGGAUCAGGGUAUCCAAGUGGCGCAGCCGCUACUAACGGUUCGUUUGUUCAACGAUUAAAACCCUACGUGAUCUGAGUUCAGACCGGAGCAAUCCAGGUCGGUUUCUAUCUAUAAAGAGUUACUUCUAGUACGAAAGGACCGAAGCAACAUGGCCCAUGAUCAAUCAAGCCAUCGCUGAAAAUUAGUAAAAACAACUUAAUUAAUAUCAGUCUACCACUUUCCCUCAGAUAAAGUCU
rnacentral:rRNA from 1 species